rnacentral:lncRNA from 1 species
UUUUUUUUUUUUUUUUUUGUUUUUUGCCCCUUAGAGAUUUGCACUUCGUAGUUUAUUAACUGCUUUUUUAGUCCAUUAUGUUUAAAUGAUGUAUCUUGGUCAUGAAAUUAUCAAGAUAUCGCAUCUUGGUCCUCAUUUUGAUUUCCUGCGUAAGCUUAGUUUGGACCUGACAAAAGGGAGAGAAAUAGCUCCAAAAAGAGGAGAUUGGAUACCAUAUUAGGAUUAGAAUCUUGUCCAGUAAUUGUAAUUUUAGCAUGGAGGCGCGAUGGCUUACAGGAAUGUUCAUAUUGGUCAUUUUGGGGUUGUUGAUUUUGAUUCAUAAGUUCAUUGCCAAUUUUGUGUUUGAUUUAAAUUGCAUUUGCAUUCCCUAUUUUAUAUCUAUCAAAAGUGAAAAUCAUUCAAAACCAUCCUUACAUUUUGUCAAAUGACUUUUUUCGUCUCUCAUUUUUAAAAUAUUAACUUUAUGUUCUUUACAAAUUCAAAUUAUAAAAAUAUGGUCUCUACCUAAUUUUUUGAUCGUUUUUUAGUCUAAAAUCAUCAUGUGACCUAUAUACAGUUAUUUUUUUUUUAUAUACAAACAUGUCAGAAUCCCACAUUUUUAGUGACAAAAAUAAAUAUAAAUUAGAUCAGAUCCCAUUUUUUAGGAGAAAAAUAAAUAUGGUUCAUGUCAUAUCUUACUUUUUUAGAGACAAAACUGAAUAUGGAUUAGAUCGUUUGUUUAACUACAAAUAAGAUCUAAUCUUUUUGUUUUUUAAAAAAUGACCAUAUGUGGGGUGCGUGAUAGAUUUAAAGUAAAAAGUUAUGAAAAAUUUAAAUUGGAAUCAAAUUUUAUCGACUUGAUUUUGUAAGAAACGUAAAUUUACUACUUUAAAAGUGAAAGAUGAAAAAAAUUAUUUAACAAAAAAACAAGGAAUAUUUUGAACGAUUUUCCCCUACCAAAAUGAUCGAAUUCUAUGUUAUUUUGGUAUGUGUACUAGAAAUUAGAAGUUUUGUGAUUAAUGAGGUCUCUAUUGAGGUCCACAUAUUAUAAGAGCAGAAAAUUAACAUAAAAGUUUCUUCAUGCAACUAAUCACGGAACCUCUUACCUUUAUGACGUAUGGAAAAAUAACAUUAUUGAUUAUGAAGCUAGAUGAAUCAUUUAGUAACUAUCUAUCAGAGAUGCAUUUAACCUUCUCUAUCUCAACUCUCAAUCAAGGUAAAAGAAUUAUUUGCCAACGGAAAUUGAGCCAUACCACUUGGAACUUAGAUUUAGAUCUCCCAUCCUAAAAUCCCUAAAAGAAAAUGAAAAAAGAAAAUAUUCCUUGGCCUCCCUUUAUUUUAUUUCUUUAAAUGGGCAUGUUUGGAUCCAUUCUACUGCUUCUUUAAACUUGAAUUAGAACUCAAUAUAAGAUGCCUUUCAUGGCUUAUGAUCUUCAUAAAACAGCAAAAUCCUUGAUGUUUAACAGCACUGGUACAUCGAGUCUUUCCCAUUCUCAACAUGAGGGUAAUAUCUAUGAUAACAUAUUCAAUAAUCACAAUAUCCACUUAUUAUUUGUAGAGUAGAAUAAUAGCAAUUCCACAGACUGAUAGAUCACUCAGAACUUGACAACGACCUUGACACAGUCUGGGUGUUUCAGGUACUCAA